rnacentral:hammerhead_ribozyme from 1 species
AUCCAGCUGACGAAUCCCAAAUGGGACGAAAUGCGAGUCCCAGAU